CCAGGCGACAUAGUAACUUUUCUGGGGCGUACUCGUUUCCUCAGCGAGUCCAGGAUGCCGCCUGCGGUAUAACUAUGAAGUUGAGCGGGGGCUCCCGGCGGGAGAGGUUCUGGGAAGAAGCGCUGCCCGCCCCAGUCGCCCGCCCCUGCCCUGGCAGCGACCUGCGCCGCUGGGGUGCGGCCCGAGUUGUUCGCCGCGGCUGUGGGAUAUGAAGAUAGAUUAAAUAAAGAAUUCUAUUCUGUCUUCACAACUGAAUAGCUGGAUCAAUAAGUGUAAAAUAUGAAGUGAGGAAAAGAACAGCAGAGAGGCAGGAGAACAAUUGAAGAGACUACAGCUCUAAGAACCAUCAGUGAACAUUAGUCAAGUUGUACUUCUUUGCUGAUAAUUUAUUAGAGAAGUGCCUGAUGUUUGGACCAGACAAUGAGAAGUCCUGUUCUAUUAACCUGCUUCCUUUGUAAAAGGUGGUUCACUGUGUACUUUGUGGUUGUUGGUCUUUGGAAUGCCGAAAGGAUGAUAGAGCACUGGAGAGCCGUGUGGAUGCAUUACUCAUAAGAAAGCGCUUGCAUGCAAGUAUGCCAAGAGGGAUCCCAUAUUGCAGGUUUAUAUUUCUGCAAUUGGAGGACCAUGGACCAUCUGGACCAUAACUAGACUUUAUGAUCAGAUCCAGUGUGUAGAUGAAUUUCAUGUUAUUGACACAAAUGUAGUCAUUAGAAUGUUUUCUGAGAGUGGGCUGUGUUUUAUCAGAAAUGUUUUAUCUAAAUCUAAGAACUGGCUAUAAGCUAAGGUAAUAGAGAUCUGGUAAAAGAUAUUGUAGCAUUUAAUUGAAAUAAACCACUGGGAUAUAUGGACAUGAUUGUACAUAACAAAUGUCAUAUGACAGUAGUAUGCCCUCACUCUUCCUAAUUUUCUCAUCUCUGAGUUGCUAUGGAAGAAUCAGAUUUGUCUUUGUUGUAUACAUUUUACAACCAUAAAAGUUCAGCCUUGUAUCUUUUCCCCGUAUUGCUAAAAACAAGGAAAAUGCUGCAAUGAAUGGAAAUAUGACAGGAAAAAAAGGCUAUUAAAUAUCUUUCCUUCUUCCUUGUUUUCACUUUAUUGAGUGUUGAGAGGAGACAUUAAGGCAGAUAAAAGUGGAAAAUAGUUAGAAUAUCAUAGAAUAUCAUAGAUGUAAAAGAGACGCCGCCUGUAUUUUUCUGCCCCAUACACAUUUUCUCUGCAGAUUUACCCAACAGUGUCACAUAAGUGAAAGAAACAAAUCUGCUGGAAUUCUGCAGGUGAGGGCUAUGAAGAUAAAGGCACGGUUAUCUUUAGUAACCUAUUUGAACCCCCUCAUUUCUGUGUUUGUCCAUCAACAGUAUGUGUGUCUAAGAAAGCUUAACACAGUGAAUAGAGGUGGGUCUCUUUGUCUAGGUGCACCAGAUGUUGUCCAAGGGACCUGAUAUCCUGUAUUUGUCUCAUAUUAUGGCCAGGCUUCCAAGCAGUCCAAUCAAUCUGCUCUCACGUGCCCUUCCUUAUGCAUUUUCCAAUGGCAAAAUGAAUAGUAUUACCUAAUGAUUGUGUCUGUACCAUUUUAAUGAUAUCAUAACACUUCUUGUUCAAUACAAAAGAUCACUUUGUGAUGAGCUCAUCAAUGGAAGUAGAAUAUUAAAAAAUAAUAAUUAUGCAUAUUAGUCUGUAGAAAUAUUGUUCUGAGAGUAUUAGACAGAUUCUGCAUGCCAAAGAUUGUAUUAAAUGAUAACUAGCAGGGAGUUCCCAAACAUCAUCAAAUUUUCAUCUUUGUUAAUAUUGUGGGAAUCAGAAGGAUCUUGUCCCAUCUUCAUGGGCCCGUGUUAAAUGCCGUAAGUAUAAAUUAGACCUGACCAGCCAUCCAAAACCUCACAAUUUCUUGUCUCAGGCAUUAACAUUUCACUGAUAAUACUCUUUUCAUAAAUCUUGGCAGUACUAUUAAAUUAUUCAUAUGGUGUUAUAUGAAAACACACGACAAUUUUUAAAAAUGUAUUUGUAAAGCAGCAUCUUGCAAUGAGCUAAGAUGCCAUUCUGCUGGUUAUUUUUCUGAAUCUGGCCAU